rnacentral:hammerhead_ribozyme from 1 species
UCACUGCUGACGAGUCCCAUACUAGGACGAAACGGCCGUCCAGUGC